GGGCCUGUGGCGCAGUGGUAGCGCGCCUGCUUUGCAAGCAGGAGGUCGUGGGUUCGAGUCCCACAUGGUCCACCA
rnacentral:tRNA from 1 species